UACGUAGGGGGCGAGCGUUGUCCGGAAUCAUUGGGCGUAAAGCGCGUGUAGGCGGCCCGGUAAGUCCGCUGUGAAAGUCCAGGGCUCAACCCUGGGAUGCCGGUGGAUACUGUCGGGCUCGAGUCCGGAAGAGGCGAGUGGAAUUCCUGGUGUAGCGGUGAAAUGCGCAGAUAUCAGGAGGAACACCAAUGGCGAAGGCAGCUCGCUGGAACGUGACUGACGCUGAGGAGCGAAAGCGUGGGGAGCGAACAGG
rnacentral:rRNA from 1 species